rnacentral:rRNA from 1 species
GUGCCAGCAGCCGCGGUAAUACAGAGGUCUCAAGCGUUGUUCGGAAUCACUGGGCGUAAAGGGUGCGUAGGCGGCGGGGAAAGUCAGAUGUGAAAUCCGGAGGCUCAACCUCCGAAUUGCAUCCGAUACUCCCUCGCUAGAGAUUUGUAGAGGAGCUUGGAAUUCUCGGUGUAGCAGUGAAAUGCGUAGAUAUCGAGAAGAACGCUCGCAGCGAAGGCGAAGCUCUGGGCAAAUUCUGACGCUGAUGCACGAAGGCUAGGGGAGCAAACGGGAUUAGAUACCCCGGUAGUCC